rnacentral:ncRNA from 1 species
GUGAAUCCCGCGCCGGGGUGCCCGUGGAAAGGUCCGGUGCGGUGAAGGUGGGUAAAUCUCCAGACCCGAAGGGGCAGGAGUGCCGUUUGGCGUUCGGCGUCCGGGAGUUGCCGCUCCAUGGGCGCCGUCG